rnacentral:lncRNA from 1 species
CUAGUGCAAGUGAAAUAUUUUGUAGUAUUAAAGUGAAACUAAUAACAGUCAUUAUGGAUCAACACUGCUGCACUGAGGGACAAAUAUUCCAUUUGCUCUGAGGAUUGAGGAGUCUAAUUUUAUAGUUGGGAAAAUAAAGUUGCAACGGCUUUUUCCUGGAGUUUAUCAAGGUUGACAAGUGAAGUUUUAUGAAUAUGAUUUCUAUAUCAUCUCUUAAGGUUGCUGCAGUAAAUAUCCAUAAGCUGCUACUAAUCAAAGCAUUAAUAAAAUCAUCAUAAUGUUAAGGACAUUGCUACAUAUCUCUUUCCCUGGUGAUGCACUCCUGGACUGAAAUACUUGGAUUAUCUGCCGUAAAGAGCAUCGUUUGAUUCAAAUCAAGAUACAGAGUCAUGAUCGAGUGACUCUACCUGAGGUCAAACGGCCUAUGGCUUUAAAUCCCAGAUCACCCUUUGUUCUUUUAUUGGAUGAGGAUGACUUCAGAAGAUGGGCAAUAGAGGAACAAACUUAAAAUUUUCGCCCAAGUUACUCAUCAUGGAUGUAAAACCUGUUCCUGGGUGUAAAUUCCCAGGCCACAGGAAUACAUGUUACAUAUGCUG